GCCUCGGUGGUGUAGUGGUCAAGACGCUCGCCUGGUAACCAGGAGAGCGUGGGUUCGAUCCCAGCCGAGAUA
rnacentral:tRNA from 1 species